rnacentral:rRNA from 1 species
GAUGAACGCUGGCGGCGUGCCUAAUACAUGCAAGUCGAACGCGCAGCGAAAGGUGCUUGCACCUUUCAAGCGAGUGGCGAACGGGUGAGUAACACGUGGAUAACCUGCCUCAAGGCUGGGGAUAACGUUUGGAAACAGAUGCUAAUACCGAAUAAAACUUAGUAUCGCAUGAUACAAAGUUAAAAGGCGCUACGGCGUCACCUAGAGAUGGAUCCGCGGUGCGUUAGUUAGUUGGUGGGGUAAAGGCUUACCAAGACGAUGAUGCAUAGCCGAGUGGCGAGACUGAUCGGCCACAUUGGGCCUGAGACACGUCCCAAACUCCUACGGGAGGCUGCAGUAGGGAAUCUUCCACAAUGGGCGCAAGCCUGAUGGAGCAACGCCGCGUGUGUGAUGAAGGCUUUCGGGUCGUAAAGCACUGUUGUAUGGGAAGAAAUGCUAAAAUAGGGAAUGAUUUUAGUUUGACGGUACCAUACCAGAAAGGGACGGCUAAAUACGUGCCAGCCGCCGCCGUAA